CUCAAAGCUUAAGCCAUGCAAGUCUCAGUACGAACUUCCUUAAAGUGAAACCGCAAAAGGCUCAGUAAACCGGUCAUAGUUUACCGGAUGUAUUCCACUUACGUGGAUAACUGUGGUAAUUCUAGAGCUAAUACAUGCACUUAAGUCUCGACCAGCGAUGGUCGCGACGCUUUUAUUGGAUCAAAACCAUUCGCCCGGCUCCGGCCGGGCGCAACAAUGGCGACUCUAGAUAAUACCACAGAUCGCACGGUCUCAGUACCGGCGACGUAUCCGUCAAAUGUCUGACUUAUCAGCCGUCGAUGGUAGACUCUGUGUCUACCAUGGCUUUCACGGGUGACGGGGAAUCAGGGUUCGAUUCCGGAGAGGGAGCCUGAGAAACGGCUACCACAUCCAAGGAAGGCAGCAGGCACGCAAAUUACCCACUCCCGGCACGGGGAGGUAGUGACAAAAAAUAACGAUACGGGACUCAUCCGAGGCCCCGUAAUCGGAAUGAGAACACUCCAAAUCCUUUAACGAGUAUCUAUUGGAGGGCAAGUCUGGUGCCAGCAGCCGCGGUAAUUCCAGCUCCAAUAGCGUAUAUUAAAGUUGUUGCGGUUAAAAAGCUCGUAGUUGGUUCUGCGUGCCACGCUGUCGGUUCACCGCCUGUCGGUGCAACUGGCAUGCCGUGGCAUGUCCUGUCGGUGGCCCCACAUGCCUCGCGUGGGCGCCCUAUGCGUUAACGCGCGUAGGAGUCGCUCUGCUAGGUCAUCGUGGGGCCGGUUCAAUCCUGCCGCGGUGCUCUUUACCGAGUGUCGAGGUAGGCCGACAAUGUUUACUUUGAACAAAUUAGAGUGCUUAAAGCAGGCUAUGAAAGUAGCCUGAAUAGUGUUGCAUGGAAUAAUGGAACAGGACCUUGGUUCUAUUUUGUUGGUUUCCGGAAUCCAAGGUAAUGAUCAAUAAGGACAGGCGGGGGCAUUCGUAUUGCGGCGUUAGAGGUGAAAUUCUUGGAUCGUCGCAAGACGCACUAGAGCGAAAGCAUUUGCCAAGUAUGUCUUAAUUGAUCAAGAACGAAAGUUAGAGGUUCGAAGGCGAUCAGAUACCGCCCUAGUUCUAACCAUAAACGAUGCCAGCCAGCGAUCCGCCGAUGUUCCUCCGAUGACUCGGCGGGGAGCUUCCCCCGGGAAACCAAAGCUUUUGGGUUCCGGGGGAAGUAUGGUUGCAAAGCUGAAACUUAAAGGAAUUGACGGAAGGGCACCACCAGGAGUGGAGCAUGCGGCUUAAUUUGACUCAACACGGGAAACCUCACCAGGCCCGGACAUUGGAAGGAUUGACAGAUCGAUAGCUCUUUCUCGAUUCAGUGGGUAGUGGUGCAUGGCCGUUCUUAGUUGGUGGACUGAUUUGUCUGGUUAAUUCCGAUAACGAACGAGACUCUGGCCUAUUAACUAGGCGAUCCCGGUAUACAUACCUACCGGCGAUAUUUAUUCUUCUUAAAGGGACAGGCGGCUCUUAGCCGCACGAGAUUGAGCAAUAACAGGUCUGUGAUGCCCUUAGAUGUUCUGGGCCGCACGCGCGCUACACUGAAGGAAUCAGCGUGUUCUCCCCUGUCCGAAAGGACCGGGCAACCCGCUGAACCUCCUUCGUGCUAGGAAUUGGGGCUUGCAAUUCUUCCCCAUGAACGAGGAAUUCCCAGUAAGCGCGAGUCAUAAGCUCGCGCUGAUUACGUCCCUGCCCUUUGUACACACCGCCCGUCGCUACUACUGAUUGAAUGAUUUAGUGAGGUCUUCGGACCGGCGGUAACAGGCACCGGCUCGCCCGGUAUCGGUUCCGCUGGAAAGAUGACCGAACUUG
rnacentral:rRNA from 1 species